AAACUUCUUAUGCUUUAUUUCUCAGAAUCUAACAUGAGCCUGGGGAAAAACAAAGAUGAAACAUGUUGUUGAAACAUUGGUAGCUUUAUGCCUUCUGUGCCAUCAUGUUGUCAGCGUUUCAAAUAGACUACAAUGUAUUGAAAGAGCCAAAGAUUUUUACAACAAGAUUAGUAACACCACAACAUUUU